CCUCCCCCGCCGCUGGUCGCAUUCGUACUUCUACUUUUAGUGCUGCUACCACUACUCUUUUCAUUUCCGGAACUCGCGCUUCACUGGCGACCGAACCCUUCCGGGAGACGACGGAUGAGAGAAGGAGACGAGAGAAGGGAACGAGCAGCAGCAGUGACUACUCGCGACCGACCCCCCUCGACCUCUCGCCGCCGCGGCCGCCGAACGAGAAAGCGGGAGUGACGCCUUAGACCCCUUAGGCGCCACGGCGCUAGCGUCCGGAGACGAGGGCGCGAGCCUCGGGUGGGCUCCCGGUUCGCAUCAGAA
rnacentral:rRNA from 1 species